CCGGUACUUGUAGACUAAGCAGAAAAUUUUGAUAUCUUCUUACUGAUUUAGGUUAGAAAAGCACAACAGAAACAAAUACUGAUUUGGCUUUCUGAAUAAUUGACUAAAAAAAUGUCAUGCAAUUUCCAGUUAGCCUUAUGAUUUGCUAUGUGAAAUCCUGAAUCUGAGUUUUCUGUUUUGCAGUGACUGUAGCCUUAAAGCUCAGUCGGGAACCCUGAUGGCUCGUAAUUACUGUAGGCUUCUCACUCUUGAAAAUCCUCUCUUCCCUUGACAGUAUAUCAACUCAUAAUUGAAGCAACACAGAGUAGGUCUGCCAAGUUGGAUGCAGAGACAGUCCUUUCAAUCACUUCAUCAUGAUUGAAGGUUACAGCCAAAAAGACUCCAGGAGUUUCCAAAGCUGUUGGUUGUCAAACUACUUUUUGGUUCUAAGAGUCCGGUGAGAAGUUUUUUGGAGCAGCCACAGAAGAUGUCUGUUCAUGCAAUAAAGCUGCAUGGACUCUGGCGUAGUUAGUCAAGACUGUCAAGCAUACUUGCUGCUCGCUGCUACUUGCUGCAAUUGUUUCAUCCGCUGUGAUGAAGGCUAUUAAGCUCAUCCCACCUUCUAUACUUGCUGGUUGCUCCUUUCUUCAUGAUCAGAUGAAAACAUCCAGGAUGGAAUUCUCUUUUGCUCUCUGCCUUGGAUGGCUAAAGCCGGAGAUCUUCCUUGUCGGCUGGUGAUUUUAAACUGUCCAACCAUUCAGCAAUUUGUAGACAUGUUGAUGAGGUGUUCUUUUACCUCUUUUGGAACUCAAUUUGCCAUAUCUUCCGUGCUGCUUGUAGUUCAAAGUAGCCAGUAUUUUGCAGCAGAAAGAUGUGGAUUAGCUGAACCCUGAUAGGUGCUUGCAUCCUUCUUGAAGUUGUAUCUUAGCUCUAUAACAGGCAACAUAUUUUUUCUCAGUGUUCUGCAGUUGACUACAUGAUACUUUUCCA